GAUGAACGCUGGCGGCGUGCUUAACACAUGCAAGUCGAACGAAGCACUUUAUUAUGAUUUCUUCGGAAUGACGAUUUAGUGACUGAGUGGCGGACGGGUGAGUAACGCGUGGGUAACCUGCCUUAUACAGGGGGAUAACAGUUAGAAAUGACUGCUAAUACCGCAUAAGCGCACAGGAUUGCAUGAUCUAGUGUGAAAAACUCCGGUGGUAUAAGAUGGACCCGCGUCUGAUUAGCUGGUUGGUGAGGUAACGGCCCACCAAGGCGACGAUCAGUAGCCGACCUGAGAGGGUGACCGGCCACAUUGGGACUGAGACACGGCCCAAAACUCCUACGGGAGGCAGCAGUGGGGAAUAUUGCACAAUGGGGGAAACCCUGAUGCAGCGACGCCGCGUGAGCGAAGAAGUAUUUCGGUAUGUAAAACUCUAUCAGCAGGGAAGAUAAAUGACGGUACCUGACUAAGAAGCACCGGCUAAAUACGUGCCAGCAG
rnacentral:rRNA from 1 species